rnacentral:rRNA from 1 species
UUCUGGUUGAUCCCGCCGGACCCUACUGCUAUCGGGGUGGGACUAAGACAUGCGAGUCGAGCGUCUCUAGCUAUGUUGAGACGCGGCAUACGGCUCAGUAACACGUGGUUAACCUACCCUCAGGACAGGGACAAACCCGGGAAACUGGGGCUAAUACCUGAUAGGCGAGGACGCCUGGAAUGGUUCUUCACCUAAAGGGCUUGAAAACAUGCUUUCAAGUCGCCUGGGGAUGGGGCCGCGUCCGAUCAGGUUGUUGGUGAGGUAAUGGCUCACCAAGCCUAUAACCGGUACGGGCCGUGAGAGCGGUAGCCCGGAGAUGGGUACUGAGACAAGGACCCAGGCCCUACGGGGCGCAGCAGUCGCGAAAACUCCGCAAUGCACGAAAGUGUGACGGGGCUACCCCGAGUGCCGUCCGCUGAGGACGGCUUUUCCUUGGUGUAACUAGCCGGGGGAAUAAGGAGAGGGCAAGACUGGUGUCAGCCGCCGCGGUAA